rnacentral:rRNA from 2 species
GCUUGCUUCAAAAACGUUAGCGGCGGACGGGUGAGUAACACGUGGGCAACCUACCUUAUCGACUGGGAUAACUCCGGGAAACCGGGGCUAAUACCGGAUAACAUCUAGCACCUCCUGGUGCCGGAUUAAAAGAGGGCUUCUUGCUCUCACGAUGAGAUGGGCCCGCGGCGCAUUAGCUAGUUGGAGAGGUAACGGCUCCCCAAGGCGACGAUGCGUAGCCGACCUGAGAGGGUGAUCGGCCACACUGGGACUGAGACACGGCCCAGACUCCUACGGGAGGCAGCAGUAGGGAAUCUUCCGCAAUGGACGAAAGUCUGACGGAGCAACGCCGCGUGAGUGAUGAAGGGUUUCGGCUCGUAAAGCUCUGUUAUGAGGGAAGAACACGUACCGUUCGAAUAGGGCGGUACCUUGACGGUACCUCAUCAGAAAGCCACGGCUAACUACGUGCCAGCAGCCGCGGUAAUACGUAGGUGGCAAGCGUUGUCCGGAAUUAUUGGGCGUAAAGCGCGCGCAGGCGGCCUUUUAAGUCUGAUGUGAAAUCUUGCGGCUCAACCGCAAGCGGCCAUUGGAAACUGGGAGGCUUGAGUACAGAAGAGGAGAGUGGAAUUCCACGUGUAGCGGUGAAAUGCGUAGAUAUGUGGAGGAACACCAGUGGCGAA